rnacentral:rRNA from 1 species
GGGUUGUGAGGUUAAGCGACUAAGCGUACACGGUGGAUGCCCUGGCAGUCAGAGGCGAUGAAGGACGUGCUAAUCUGCGAUAAGCGUCGGUAAGGUGAUAUGAACCGUUAUAACCGGCGAUUUCCGAAUGGGGAAACCCAGUGUGAUUCGUCACACUAUCAUUACGUGAAUACAUAGCGUAAUGAAGCGAACCGGGGGAACUGAAACAUCUAAGUACCCCGAGGAAAAGAAAUCAACCGAGAUUC